rnacentral:rRNA from 1 species
AACGUAGGACACAAGCGUUAUCCGGAGUUACUGGGCGUAAAGGGCGUGUAGGCGGACUUGUAAGUCUAUUCUGAAAGCUCCUGGCUAAACUGGGAGAGGCGAAUGGAGACUGCAAAUCUAGAGUGAGGAAGAGGAAAGUGGAAUUCCGCGUGUAGUGGUGAAAUGCGUAGAGAUCGGCAGGAACACCCAGGGGGAAACCAGUCGACUGGGCAUCUACUGACGCUGAGGUGCGAGAGCGUGGGGAGCGAACCGG